AACGGGUGAGUAACACGUGGGCAAUCUGCCCUGCACUCUGGGACAAGCCCUGGAAACGGGGUCUAAUACCGGAUACUGACCCGCCUGGGCAUCCAGGCGGUUCGAAAGCUCCGGCGGUGCAGGAUGAGCCCGCGGCCUAUCAGCUUGUUGGUGAGGUAAUGGCUCACCAAGGCGACGACGGGUAGCCGGCCUGAGAGGGCGACCGGCCACACUGGGACUGAGACACGGCCCAGACUCCUACGGGAGGCAGCAGUGGGGAAUAUUGCACAAUGGGCGAAAGCCUGAUGCAGCGACGCCGCGUGAGGGAUGACGGCCUUCGGGUUGUAAACCUCUUUCAGCAGGGAAGAAGCGAAAGUGACGGUACCUGCAGAAGAAGCGCCGGCUAACUACGUGCCAGCAGCCGCGGUAAUACGUAGGGCGCGAGCGUUGUCCGGAAUUAUUGGGCGUAAAGAGCUCGUAGGCGGCUUGUCACGUCGGUUGUGAAAGCCCGGGGCUUAACCCCGGGUCUGCAGUCGAUACGGGCAGGCUAGAGUUCGGUAGGGGAGAUCGGAAUUCCUGGUGUAGCGGUGAAAUGCGCAGAUAUCAGGAGGAACACCGGUGGCGAAGGCGGAUCUCUGGGCCGAUACUGACGCUGAGGAGCGAAAGCG
rnacentral:rRNA from 1 species